ACGUAGGGGGCGAGCGUUGUCCGGAUUUAUUGGGCGUAAAGAGCUCGUAGGCGGCUUUGUCAGUCGGGUGUGAAACCUCCAGGCUCAACCUGGAGCCGCCACCUGAUACUGCAAUAGCUAGAGUCCGGUAGGGGAGCAUGGAACUCCUGGUGUAGCGGUGAAAUGCGCAGAUAUCAGGAAGAACACCAGUGGCGAAGGCGGUGCUCUGGGCCGGAACUGACGCUGAGGAGCGAGAGCGUGGGGAGCAAACAGGA
rnacentral:rRNA from 1 species